AGUGAACGCUGGCGGCGUGCCUAAUACAUGCAAGUCGAACGAUGAAGUCCUAGCUUGCUAGGAUGGAUUAGUGGCGCACGGGUGAGUAAUAUAUAGUUAAUCUGCCCUACACAGAGGAACAACAGUUGGAAACGGCUGCUAAUACCUCAUACUCCUAUUUGACAUAAGUUAAAUAGGGGAAAGUCUUUUCGGUGUAGGAUGAGACUAUAUCGUAUCAGCUAGUUGGUAAGGUAAUGGGCUUACCAAGGCUAUGACGCGUAACUGGUCUGAGAGGAUGAUCAGUCACAUUGGAACUGAGACACGGUCCAAACUCCUACGGGAGGCAGCAGUAAGGAAUAUUGCGCAAUGGGGGAAACCCUGACGCAGCAACGCCGCGUGGAGGAUGACACUUUUCGGAGCGUAAACUCCUUUUAUCAGGAAAGAAUAAUGACGGUACCUGAUGAAUAAGCACCGGCUAACUCCGUGCCAGCAGCCGCGGUAAUACGGGGGGUGCAAGCGUUACUCGGAAUCACUGGGCGUAAAGGACGCGUAGGCGGAUUAUCAAGUCUUUUGUGAAAUCUAGUGGCUUAACCACUAAACUGCUUAGGAAACUGAUAGUCUAGAGUAGGGGAGAGGUAGAUGGAAUUCUUGGUGUAGGGGUAAAAUCCGUAGAGAUCAAGAAGAAUACCCAUUGCGAAAGCGAUCUGCUGGAACCUAACUGACGCUGAGGCGUGAAAGCGUGGGUAGCAAACAGG
rnacentral:rRNA from 1 species